rnacentral:rRNA from 1 species
UCCUACGGGAGGCAGCAGUAGGGAAUCUUCCACAAUGGACGAAAGUCUGAUGGAGCAAUGCCGCGUGAGUGAAGAAGGUUUUCGGAUCGUAAAACUCUGUUGUUGAAGAAGAACAUAUGUGAGAGUAACUGUUCACGUACUGACGGUAUUCAACCAGAAAGCCACGGCUAACUACGUGCCAGCAGCCGCGGU